CAAGUCGAGCGAGGCCUGGGGGGCAACUCCCAGAGUCGAGCGGCGGACGGGUGAGUAACACGUGGGUAACCUGCCCGGAAGUGGGGAAUACCUCGGGGAAACUCGAGCUAAUACCGCAUGACAUCUUCGGGACGAAAGUCCUGACGAUCAAAGCGGGGUCGCAAGAUCUCGCGCUACCGGAUGGGCCCGCGCCCGAUUAGCUAGUUGGUGAGGUAACGGCUCACCAAGGCUUCGAUCGGUAACCGGCCUGAGAGGGCGAUCGGUCACACCGGAACUGAGACACGGUCCGGACUCCUACGGGAGGCAGCAGUGGGGAAUCUUGCGCAAUGGGCGAAAGCCUGACGCAGCAACGCCGCGUGGAGGAUGAAGGCCCUUGGGUUGUAAACUCCUGUCGGCUGGGAAGAAAUCGUACGGUGCUCAUACCACCGUGCGUUGACUGUACCAGCAAAGGAAGCCCCGGCUAACUCUGUGCCAGCAGCCGCGGUAAUACAGAGGGGGCUAGCGUUAUUCGGAAUUAUUGGGCGUAAAGGGCGCGUAGGCGGCCAUGCGUGUCUUCCGUGAAAUCCCUCGGCUUAACUGAGGACGUGCGGAAGAAACUGCAAGGCUCGAGUCCGGGAGAGGGGGGGUGGAAUUCCCAGUGUAGCGGUGAAAUGCGUAGAUAUUGGGAGGAACACCGGUGGCGAAGGCGGCCCCCUGGACCGGUACUGACGCUGAGGCGCGAAAGCGUGGGUAGCAAACGGGAUUAGAUACCCCGGUAGUCCACGCCGUAAACGAUGGGCACUUGGUGUCGCGGGUACCGACCCCUGCGGUGCCGAAGCUAACGCAUUAAGUGCCCCGCCUGGGGA
rnacentral:rRNA from 1 species